rnacentral:lncRNA from 1 species
GGGGAACUUUGAAAUAGCUGAACAAUUUGUUCUUCUCUAACUAAUCUUCUCGCAACCUAUGCAACAAAUUAAUGAAAGUAUACAAUGCUUUCAAAGUUUCUAUGAUAUUUUAAUGAAUAAUCAAGAAUCAAUUCUACGCAAUAGCAAAGUGGAAUGUUUUCCAGAUUUAUGCUGAGUGAUCACACAAGAUCUAGAACUUUUC